UACGAAGGGUGCAAGCGUUACUCGGAAUUACUGGGCGUAAAGCGUGCGUAGGUGGUUUGUUAAGUCUGUUGUGAAAGCCCCGGGCUCAACCUGGGAAUGGCAAUGGAUACUGGCAAGCUAGAGUGCGGUAGAGGGUAGUGGAAUUCCCGGUGUAGCGGUGAAAUGCGUAGAGAUCGGGAGGAACACCGGUGGCGAAGGCGGGUCUCUGGGCAGUAACUGACGCUGAGGAGCGAAAGCGUGGGGAGCGAACAGG
rnacentral:rRNA from 1 species